GUUGGGUAUACACUAUGUAUUAAUAUUACCAUAACAAAGAGCUUAAGGACAUAAAAUGGCGGACAGAGAUGAGACAGUUGAUCAGAAAACAGAAUCGUCACCAGGAGUAAGCUGCUGAUAAUUCCAAGUUGUAUUUAUUAUGUUAUAUGAAAAAUAGACAUGUAAUAUAGGACAGAGUUAUCUUUGCUAGUUCCUUCUUUCUCUGACAGGUACAAUCCAUUUGAUAACAAAUAUUCCCUUAAGAUUUAACACAACUCUCAUCUGUAAUAAUUUGGAACAGGGUUUUUGAAUACAGGUUUUCAAUUUACUCCAUUUAAAAUGUUAUUAUAAAUGUAUUCACAACAUGGCACUAUAUGGAUCCAUCAAGCCAAACUGACCACUCAGAAGUGACUGCUAUUAAUCACUGUUAUAGUUAUGUCUCUUUAGUUAGCUAGUAAUGUUAUUCUCAUUGGUUUAUUGUUUUGUAGCUUUAUCUCACACCGAUGACUUGUCUUCUAUAGAUUGACAUGUUGGUUACCUUGGUUACAGGUCAGCGGAGGCUGGUGAGGCGUCAUCGUUAGCUACAGGCGAACUCUUGUUUGUCUGUUUUCACACCUGGCCUGUGUUGUGUCUAGUACAGGAUGAGUUUGGAUGAUGUCACCUCUCACAGUUAUAAAAAUAAAAGAGGAAGGAAGGAAGGGGUCAAGGGUCAGCAGUUUGUUUGAAUGGGAAAGGUCAGUUCAUCAGAUCACACACACUAUGGUACUUGGUAUUUUACAAUAAUGGUAUUUUACAAACAUGAAAAUCAAAGCUGAUAUAUUCAUUUGAAGAGAAAUUGAUUUAAAGGGUUAAAGAAAACCGCAACACAGAAUCUUCAGCUCUAUCAACUUGUUAAGUCCCAGAUCACCUGGUUUCUCCUAUAAACAAAACGAAGCAGCUUUUAGUCUCCAUUCUAUCCCUGCUAGAGUUCUGUUGUGUCUGAACUGACAGACCAGUAGUCUAGAGUAAUGUAAUGUAUGUCCAGUGUCUGGUGCAUCUGAUGUCCUCAGCAGCCCAGUAUCUUUAUCACCCUGCCUUGUGUCUAUAGAUUCUAUGUUGUGAUUUACAACAACAUGACAUAGGGGUUUAAAGCCAACUGUCUAUAGAUUCUAUGUUGUGAUUUACAACAACAUGACAUAGGGGUUUAAAGCCAACUGUCUAUAGAUUCUAUGUUGUGAUUUACAACAACAUGACAUAGGGGUUUAAAGCCAACUGUCUAUAGAUUCUAUGUUGUGAUUUAUAACAACAUGACAUAGGGGUUUAAAGCCAAGUGAGGAAGUGACAGAGCAGAAUAUAAAUAUAAGGUUGAUCCUUUAGAGACGUUUCAACUGAUAAAACCUUUAUAUCUUCUACCUUAUCUGGGAACUGAGGAGGAUUCAGUUUGUUGUUUUUUUGCAAAGAUACAUUAUUUGUACGUAAAUAAAACCACUAACACGACUACAGUAGCGAUCCCGUUGUUAUUGGCACCACCGUGGAACACAAAUCCUCUGUGUUAAAGGCUUUUCCUCACUCUGUGUGCGUCCUGUCUGCUGUUACAACGAGCGGUGUUACUUUGAACUGAGUAGGAAAUGAACAUCAAUCACAGGACUACACAUCAAACACCACAGCUGCUGCUCGUUACACCGCAGCUGCUGCUAGUUACACCGCAGCUGCUGCUCGUUACACCGCAGCUGCUGCUCGUUACACCGCAGCUGCUGCUCGUUACACCGCAGCUGCUGCUCGUUACACCGCAGCUGCUGCUCGUUACACCACAGCUGCUGCUCGUUACACCACAGCUGCUGCUCGUUACACCACAGCUGCUGCUCGUUACACCACAGCUGCUGCUCGUUACACCACAGCUGCUGCUAGUUACACCACAGCUGCUGCUAGUUACACCACAGCUGCUGCUAGUUACACCACAGCUGCUGCUCGUUACACCACAGCUGCUGCUCGUUACACCACAGCUGCUGCUAGUUACACCACAGCUGCUGCUAGUUACACCACAGCUGCUGCUCGUUACACCACAGUUUGUUCUCGUUACACCACAGCUGCUGCUCGUUACACCACAGCUGCUGCUCGUUACACCACAGCUGCUGCUCGUUACACCACAGCUGCUGCUCGUUACACCACAGCUGCUACUAGUUACACCACAGCUGCUGCUCGUUACACCACAGCAAUUAUAGAACAACAGUUGUCAGCAAUUGCUUAGACUCAAUAUAGAUAUUUUGGGGAAAAAGGAACCCCAUUCUUUCAAUUCUUCACUGCUGAAGAUGACACUCAUAAAUCCAGUCAAGAUGGAAAACCUACGCAAGACAGUCACUAAUAAAGAGUUAGAUCAAAGGAGCUGUGUGAUGCCUCCAGCCGUUAGUGGAGACACUGAGUUGGACAAAACAUUAAGAACACCUUCCUGAUAUUGAGUUACAGCCUCAAUUCAUCUGGGAUCAUGGACUCUACAAGGUGUCGAAAGCGUUCCACAGGGAUGCUGGCCCUUGUUGACUCCAGUGCUUCCCACAGUUGUGUCAAGUUGGCUGGAUGUCCUUUGGGUGGUGGACCAUUAAUGAUACACACGGGAAACAGUUGAGCGUGAAAAACCCACCAGCGUUGCAGUUCUUGACACACUGAAACUGGUGAGUCUGGUACCUACUACCAUACCCCGUUUAAAGGCACUUAAGUCUUUAGUCUUGCCAAUUCACCCUCUGAAUGGCACACAUACACAAUCCAAGCUUCAAUGCCAUACAACUCUCCUUCCGUGGCCUCCAACUGCUCUUAAAUACAAGUAAAAGUAAAUGCAUGCUCUUCAACCGAUCGCUGCCUGCACCUGCCCGCCCAUCCAGCAUCACUACUCUGGACGGUUCUGACUUAGAAUAUGUGGACAACUACAAAUACCUAGGUGUCUGGUUAGACUGUAAGCUCUCCUUCCAGACUCACAUCAAACAUUUCCAAUCCAAAGUUAAAUCUAGAAUUGGCUUCCUAUUUCGCAACAAAGCAUCCUUCACUCAUGCUGCCAAACAUACCCUCGUAAAACUGACCAUCCUACCAAUCCUCGACUUCGGCGAUGUCAUUUACAAAAUAGCCUCCAAUACCCUACUCAAUAAAUUGGAUGCAGUCUAUCACAGUGCCAUCCGUUUUGUCACCAAAGUCCCAUAUACUACCCACCACUGCGACCUGUAUGCUCUCGUUGGCUGGCCCUCGCUUCAUACUCGUCGCCAAACCCACUGGCUCCAGGUCAUCUACAAGACCCUGCUAGGUAAAGUCCCCCCCUUAUCUCAGCUCGCUGGUCACCAUCGCAGCACCCACCUGUAGCACGCUUUCCAGCAGGUAUAUCUCACUGGUCACCCCCAAAGCCAAUUCCUCCUUUGGCCGUCUCUCCUUCCAGUUCUCUGCUGCCAAUGACUGGAACGAACUACAAAAAUCUCUGAAACUGGAAACACUUAUCUCCC
rnacentral:lncRNA from 1 species